rnacentral:lncRNA from 1 species
CUUCAUAUGAUAUUCUCAAAAUUCUAGAUCAAAAUCACUUUCCUCUUCCUUCAUCACUUUCCUCUCUUUUGAUCAAAAUUAUUUCUCAAAAUUCUAGAUGUCCAUUUUAAUUUCUAUUCCAAUAAUGAACCAAAUAUUUUUUGUAUGAUUCGUCAUUCUAUUUUUCAUUCGAAUACAAUUCAAUUCUAUUUUUCAUUCUUAUUCCAAUUAUGAGCCAAACAUUCUGUAAGAAUUUGUUUGAUUGUAUGUAGUUACAACUACAUGCAUUUGUAACUACAUAUGAUCCAAAUCCGGUAUUUGAUUUGAUCCAUUUGUAUUCAAUUAUUUAAAUUGAACCUGCAUGGAAAGGACCAAUUGCAGUCCUUACAAUUACGCUCAAAUUGGUCAUAAUUCCAACUACAAUAGCUGAAGAGAGUAACUUUAAAUAAAAAAUAAACAUAAUUUUCUGAUGACUCUUAUAUAAAGUAAUAAAAUUUCAAAAAUACAAUUAUCAACUACAUGCAACCACACAAAUUAUUUACAAUUGCAAUAUUUUUUAUUAUAUUAACCAAACAAAAUAUAUAUAGUUGUACCUACUAUAUUUUCAACUAUAUGCAGCUUCAAUUAUAGUACAUUUUUUAUUACAUUCAAUCAAAAGGCCACUAAAUAUUGUCGCUAAUAUUUUUGAAAUGUUAUCC